AAGAAGAGGCAAAGAAAGAAACAUGUUGAGUCCUGCAAGAGCAGCUGGGUGAGCAGAGAUAGCAGCUGCACAGGCUGGGAAAACAGCUGGACAGACUGCAAAUAACAGGAGGCUUGGAAGGAAGAAAGAGAAGAUCCUGCUUGCUCUCAAGAUGAGAAGGAAAUGUGCCUAAGGACCUAGGCAAUCCUCAAGCAAGGAGAACCAUGCAACAAAUUGAGGAGAUCCCAAGACUCGUGAAGAAAUUGGAGUCCACAGAGUACAAGGCUAUGUUGCUUGAAGAGCAUUUUUAUUAAAGUCCCUUAACCAUAUCUGUAGCAGAAAAGUGAAGGGAAGCUGCCGAAGAGAAGAAGAGGCAAAGAAAGAAAUUAGCAAAAGAAGUUAGGUUAGAAUGGACCAAGAGAGGGCUGGGGUUAUGGCUCAGAGUAGAGUGCUGGCUUAGCACGGGUGAGGCCCUGGUUUGGAUCCUUAGCACCACAUAAAAGUAAAUAAGUAAAAUAAAGGUAUUGUGGAAAAAAAAAAGAAUGGACCAAAAUCUCCUCCUGGCAGGAAAAUUUCCCUGGGAUGAUGUCUUGAAAGAGAAAAUGCAUGAGUCACCUUGUCCCCAUUGCCCAGCACAGGAACUGGUAGAGAGAAAGCAUCAGCAUAUGUUUAUGGAUUGAUCAGAUGAAUUAGUUAAUUAAUUAGAGGCUGAAUGCCUCUUUGCACAUUGGAACCCUGCUGGGCUCCAUCAGUGUACUCUCCACUGGCUUCUGCAGGCUGUCUGAUUCCUCUCGAAGGGAAAUGCCUGGCUCAGGGAGGAUGAUGAUUGUGAUGGUCCUUUGGUCCCAGCUCUAAUUCUGGUCAUCCUGUGGUCAUUGAGGGAAAAUUGACCCAGAGUUUGGAGGAGCUUACAGGCCAAGACCAAAUCCAGAGGUACAUGGAUGGGCUAGCCCCUCAGAGAAAAAAGUCAAGGGACAACGUACUGAACUUUGCUACUGCAAAGAAGAAGGAGUGUCCUGUCAUCGGUGUUGGUUCUAAGGCAUCAUCAGUCCCUCUGAUAUCGGCUUUGAUUGUUCCUUAGACUUUCUUGGACUUCCUAACAGGAAAUCCCCAAGGAACUCCUGGGAUAGGAAGGGUUGUGAGUGACUUUGAAUAUUUUGUGGACUUGAAAGGCUUUGGGUGUAAAACUGAAUCACAUUACAUGUUUCAUUUUUCAUUUGGGAUGAUGUGAUUAGAUCUGAAAUGUAAUGUCAAGAACAAAACAAGUUGUGCCUGAAGGAACAGGAGCAAAGGGAGGCUGGGUGAUAUAGGGUAUGGAGGAUCUUAGAUUUUAGAGGAAGGUGUAAGGACAUGUAUCCCUUCCAGCUGACUCCAGCCUAGAGGGUGGCAAAGAAUGCCCAGGUUAUAGUUGAUGGAUAUGCUAGGAAGCUCUGGAGCUUUCAGUGACACAGACGUGGGGGAUAGAAUCUGAAGACCCCUUGGAAGGCCAUGGGAUUCCAAGGGAGGAGUGCAAGUGGGGAGACUGCAGGACUAGUACUUGCUCACUGCUGCACUUGAACUUGUUGGUAUGGCAGAGAAGUGGAGAAAGACAGGGAGAUAGAUACAUGCAUAUCCCUGAAGAUCAGGAAGGAAAGUCCUCAUGAUAGAAGAACAGAGAGGGAGCUGGAAGUUCUGGGGUGGAGAGAUGCUCCCUCAGAAAAUGUAAUUGGCUGUGGAGCAUUUAGGCAGAGUGCCCUUUCUUUCCUCCUCUGAAAUUUGCUCCCAGACAAAAAUAGUUGCUUCCAUCUUUUAGCCUGAAAUAAGACUCAGGAUCCAGUGUGUGUUUUUUUCUUCUUCCUUUUGGAAAGAAGGCAGAGAAAAUAAUACAAAGUUUUUUCAGAAAAUCUUCCACUGACAUACACUGUUCCAAGCAGAUUUCAUUACCUUGCAUAGCCCACUCAUUUACAUAGAGUAUAUGCUCAAUAAAUGCUGAAGGCAAAGUUGUUUUAAA